UACGGGGGGAGCAAGCGUUGUUCGGAUUUACUGGGCGUAAAGGGCGCGUAGGCGGCGUGACAAGUCACUUGUGAAAUCUCCGGGCUUAACCCGGAGCGGCCAAGUGAUACUGUCGUGCUAGAGUGCGGAAGGGGCUACUGGAAUUCCUGGUGUAGCGGUGAAAUGCGCAGAUAUCAGGAGGAACACCGGUGGCGAAGGCGGGUCUCUGGGCAACAACUGACGCUGAGGAGCGAAAGCGUGGGGAGCGAACAGG
rnacentral:rRNA from 1 species